UCGGGAGUCAGACUGCGAGUGAUAAGAUCCGUAGUCGAAAGGGAAACAGCCCAGACCACCAGUUAAGGUCCCCAAAUAUAUGUUAAGUGGAAAAGGAUGUGGGGUUGCUUAGACAACCAGGAUGUUGGCUUAGAAGCAGCCACCAUUGAAAGAGUGCGUAAUAGCUCACUGGUCGAGUGACCCCGCGCCGAAAAUGUACCGGGGCUAAACAUAUUACCGAAACUGUGGAUGAACCUCUUUAGAGGUUCGUGGUAGGAGAGCGUUCUAAGGGCGGUGAAGUCAGACCGGAAGGACUGGUGGAGCGCUUAGAAGUGAGAAUGCCGGUAUGAGUAGCGAAAGAAGGGUGAGAAUCCCUUCCACCGAAUAUCUAAGGUUUCCUGAGGAAGGCUCGUCCGCUCAGGGUUAGUCGGGACCUAAGCCGAGGCCGAUAGGCGUAGGCGAUGGACAACAGGUAGAGAUUCCUGUACCAGUGCUAAUUGUUUAACCGAUGGGGUGACACAGAAGGAUAGGGAAUCGCACGAAUGGAAAUGUGCGUCCAAGCAGUGAGUGUGAGAAGUAGGCAAAUCCGCUUCUCGC
rnacentral:rRNA from 1 species